rfam:Hordeum vulgare subsp. vulgare, WGS project CAJW01000000 data, contig: morex_contig_1469890
CGUCCGGCCCGGACCCUGUCGCCCCACGAGGCGCGGUCAACGAGUCGGGUUGUUUGGGAAUGCAGCCCAAAUCGGGCGGUAGACUCCGUCCAAGGCUAAAUACAGGCGAGAGACCGAUAGCGAACAAGCCCCGCGAGGGAAAGAUGAAAAGGACUUUGAAAAGAGAGUCAAAGAGUGCUUGAAAUUGCCGGGAGGGAAGCGGAUGGGGGCCGGCGAUGCGCCCCGGC